AGGGCGAGGACUACCGGGGUAUCUAAUCSYGUUUGCUCCCCUGGCUUUCGCUCCUCAGCGUCAAUAUUGGUCCAGGAUGCCGCCUUCGCCACCGGUGUUCCUCCAGAUAUCUACGCAUUUCACCGCUACACCKGGAAUUCCGCAUCCCUCUCCCAAAUUCAAGCCAUCCAGUAUCACACGCAUUUCCCGGGUUAASCCGAGGGAUUUCACGUAAGACUUAGUUGGCCGCCUACGAGCCCUUUACGCCCA
rnacentral:rRNA from 1 species